rnacentral:lncRNA from 1 species
UUUACUAACUUGAAUUGUGUGAUACAUGUAAAGUGCAAAUUACUUGAUAAUAUGAACUUUGAAAAUGCCAAUUGUCAUGCAUUUUUUAAUGUAAAAUUCUAUCUAUUUAAAAUGUUCUUAUUUCUUAUAACUUGUUGAAAUGUUUAUACUAAACAGCUUCUUUCUGUUGAUUUAUGUUCAUCCAUACAAAAAGUCAUGAAAUUGUUUAUUCCUUGAAAUUAUAUUUCAUGUUUUGCACAAAAAUAAUGCCAUUUAUGUGUACACCAGUUUUAUCACAAAGGAGGCAGAAAUUAUCACUGUAGCUAGCAAGAUAUUUGAACCGACCCAACCUGUGUAAUGUUAAUUUUACUGAUAAUAUUACAAAUUUGACAAAUUUCAUUUAAUGAAUGUUGACAGCCACU